AUUAACGCCAUCGGUGCUAUUUUGAACAUGGGUAUUAUCCACUUGGUCUUGAUUAGAAGUUGAUUUGUUUGACAAAUCUACUUUUCCGAUGGUCUUAAUGGGUUUUUGGGUAGAAGACACAGCCUUUUUAUCUGACAACUCUUGUAAAUCGGGGUUUAAGAAACGAAGAUACUUUUCGAGUAUUGAGUUGAUGUUUCGAAUGGCAUCAGAUAAUUGCUUGGAAUUUAAAAUUCUAGCAACGGUAUUUCUCUGAGCAUCCUCAGUCAAAUCUGCA